rnacentral:miRNA from 1 species
AGGCAAGAUGUCGGCAUAGA